ACCCCACUCGCACGAGUACUAUAUUGCUUUUAUAAAACAAUUUUAUAGUCAACCAAUUCACAUUUAAACACGAAGUUAUUGAUUAAAAAAUGUUUAUUUCGCCCUUGUUUCUCCGCAACAAAAAAUAGAUUUCAGCAAAAGUUGAGGAAUCACUCCAUGGUACAGUGGUACAAAUUCCUAAAUAGCUGGUCUUGCUGUAUGUAUCAGGGCUUAUGGAUUACGCCCAUCAUAAAAAAAGUUUACAUUUUUUUUUUUUUAAAUAUAUGUAGUAUUUGGACACUAAUUUGUUUUGAUGGCAUUUCUGUGAAAAAGGCAGACAACUUCGACAGAAUAGUCACUGUAUGAAAUAGCUUAUCAGCUGCUCUGAUACAUUUUUACCCUGUCGCUGUCCUUAAACCAUGAAUUAAGGCAUGUUGACACAAGCAAUAAUCACUGCAUUAAUUACACCAGAUGGAUAAAAACCACCAGACAGGAAUUAAGAGCACUGUACCAUAAAGUGACACCCAAACAAGCACCAGCCUUGACAAAUACAAAUAGUUAAUGGAUAACUCACAAGACACACAUUUAUAGAGCAGAAAAUAAAGCCCAGACUUGGUGGAAUAAAAGAUAACCUACAGAUGUUCAUAAUAUCAACUGGAAUUGUCUAGAAAAAUAAACUCCACUGUGUUUAUAUGGGGCUUACUUAUUGGUCUUACUUCAUUCACGUUGGCUGUUCUGAUAGGAAGAUGGCUUUCACCCCGGGGCAGACGCUGAGUAGACCCAAAAAUAACUCAAUUUCUGUGCCGCAUGGAGGUGAAAGACUCAUUCAGAUGUGUACGACAAAGACAACGUUCAGCACAUACCUGCUUCAUCCUCAUUGACACAAGCACAAAAUACGACUGAACUGGCAAAAAAUAGGACCCUCUCAGACUAUUUCUGCCUUCUUUAUUUCUUUCUUCCGGUGGCUUGUCAAUUGGAAUUCAGUCCUUAUCUCCUGAGAGACUGCUCUGUCAUAUCUAAAAUAACUGCAUAAUAUUGAGUCGCAUUUGCAGCCUCGACUUCGAAUUUCACAGAAACAUAGAGAGAAUGCAAGACUAAAAGAAGUGAGAAACAUUAAAUCUGUCUCACACACACACACACACACACACACACAUAAGAACCAGAGGACCAAUUUAAAGUUUCAGAGUCAACUGCAAAGAGUUCAUAUUCAGCUAAAACGUGUGUGUUUGAAGUUGACCUUGAGAGGAGAAAGGGUGCAAAUGACUGACCAAACUUUACUGGGCAAUCCAGAGAUGAAUACGGUAUGGAUAGGCUCAAACUACAUUACUUAUUGUACUUCAAGAUGGUGGCCUGGUCAAGUCACAUGAAUUUAUAUGAACUGCCAAUCUGGUAAGUAGAUACUGCCAAUACAUGAUCCUACUUUACUAAUGAUAGCGUAUAUAAAAUAACCUUUAUUAAUCCCACACAGGGAAAUUAAAGAACGAGAAGUAUGAGAAAACUCCAUUAAAGUAUACUACUAUAGUUAUGAAAAAAUACAGUAUCAUAAUGUGUGUCAUUUUUCUGCUCUUAUGGUAUAUAUAUAUGAACAUUCCUUGCAGUGGCUGUUUUGGUAACGGAUGCCCCAACAGUGAUGAAUGAAGUAAUGCAGUCAGUAAGUACUGCCAUGCUCGGGCCAUAUUCUCUUUGUGUUUUUUAAGUAACAAGGGCCAAACAUUUGAAUUAUGAAACUUAGUAUAGGUAUACAAACCAGUUAAAUAAGAGGGCCAGAGUAACAAUGCCAGGAAUGUGCUUCAACUUUACAAUGUAAAUAAAAACUAUUUUCUUUAUCAGCUUCGCCAUUAGGCCACAAACAUGAAUCUAUUUCUUAUUUUUAAAAUAUAGUAAAUCCCGCUAUGAGAACUGUUUGUCAAUAAUGCAAAAGUUUAGUGCUAUACACACAAGUAUUACUACCUCUUUAAUGUAAUACAAGCAAGGAUAUUAAUCACAAAUCUAAACAAAUUCAACCUAAUCUCAAAACAAAAUCACACAAAACUUUGGUCACACUUCAUGGUAAGUAAAUAUUAAACAUAUAUAAAGAGAGCCUGUAUAAAGUUUGAACAAUAUCUUGCAUUUGUACAUAUAGGAACUUAUGUUUGCCAUACAGUUCAUGCUUCAUACAACAGUUGUGUUCAUGUGUGUGCUAUGAAGAUCCCAUACAUGGGUUCUGAAGUAAAAUUACAUUUUCAACAGUCAGUCAAGUUUCACUUAAAAAAAAGAAAAAAAAGAGAGAGAAACAAAUAUCCAGUCCAAUAAAUAGGCCACAAUGAUAGACAUACUGACAUGAAGGAGAUGCACAAAUCUGAUGAACACUCCAGUUUGCUUGGAACCUGAGAUGCCUUCAAAGUUUCAUGCUAACAUUUUCUUCUAUGAAUUACCCUGUUUGUCCAAGGACGCACAAAAGACAGAGACACAAAGAUAGAAAGAAAGAAAGAGAGAAAGAAAGAAAGACAGAAAGAGAGAAAGAAAGAAAGAAGAAAGAAAGAAAGAAAGAAAUUAAAAAGAAAAUUAGAAAUAAGAGAGCAAGAGAUAAAUUGAGAGAUGUUGUGCCUUUUCAUAUCUGCUCCCUUGGAGCAGGGGUCAAACGUGUGUGUGCUGCUACUGAAACAGCUUUAACAGAGUGCCAAAUUUGGGCUGACAGUCCUCACAGUUAGGUAGUCUCGAGCUUUAGCUAGUUAGAGAAUCCUGUGUUGAUGUAAACCUUACGUCUGCACACAGAGAGAACCUCUGUGUCUAUGACCACAGCUGUUUGAGUUCGAUCAAGUCAGACGACACAGUAUCAAGUCACACGCUCGGCAACAAAAAAGGUAAUCCAAGUGUUAGGAUGACUGAAGGAGAGUGUGUGUGUCACACAAACAUCAAGGUGAAAUUGCUGAGUCAUCAUCUGCAUGAAAGUCCCAACAUAUCAAAGACAUCAAAGGCUGACAUGGCUUACUCACUUUCUGGGAACGAAUUCAAGUUAAUUUUAGCUUCACCGCACUCUCAAAAAGAAUGCAGGGGCAGACAUCACAUCAUCAAUACGCACAUCUGCCAUGGGAGCCAAUAGUCGAAACGCUUUCGUUUUUUUGUAUUUAUAUUUGAUACCAUUUACUGUAUGAAUUAUUGAUGGUAGGUUUGUGGCCAAAUAUUUGUGGUUAAGUGAUUCUGGGAAAUUUAGUCCAUUAGGCAGGCCUCUCAGCCUUGCAUUGAUCAUUCGGAGAUGCCGCCUACUCAGUAGGAACUGAUCCUUCCUCUUGGAACAUGGGACUUGUGCUGUCAGAAAGGAAAAAUAUCCAUGAAAGUCAUCUGGGAGUGACUGUGGUUUGUGGUAGGAGAUCCUUGUGGGAAAUGUUGCGUGCAUGGAGAGAAAUUCAUUGCCGUCUGUGAGGUAUUUGUUGUAAGGUGUCUCAGCUGUACAGAGACAAGAAGAUGAUAGCUGUAGGCAGUAUUGCAGUCAGUGUGUGUUGUGUGAGAGAGAGAGAGAGAGAGAGAAAGAGAGACCUGUGGUUUUUAUGGGGGUGCAAAGGGGGGGUGGGGGUGGAGAGAGCCUUGGGCAUCUGUGAGAUGGUGAAUGGGAGAUGAGGCAGGCUGUCUCUUUCGAUUGAAGACUGUGACUGUGGACUGUCCUGGAUGGGUGUGUGUGGGGUGGGGGGGGGGGGGGUGUUGGGUGAUGCUGGAGGGGUCCUUCACUCAGAGUCGUCCUCGUCGCUGCCUGACAGCAGGUCCGCCAGAUCGGCUGCCGUCAGACUCAGAGCUGCAGCUUCAGACAGCGCCGGUCCGGAGCGGGACUCUGCCAGUCUGAGAAAUAGAAACAGAAAGAGAGAGAGAGAGAGAAGGAAUGAUGGAUAAAUGGAGGGAGUGGAAGAGAAAGAGAGAUGGAUAGAGUGAAGGAAGGAAGAGAAGGUGAAAAUGAGAGACAUGUGGAAUAGUGACGUUUUAGAAGAAAGAGAAGGAAGCCAAGCCGUGAGUGAAAUAAGCGAAAGGGAGAGGAAGAGAAAGAGGGAGUCAUGAAAUCGUGACAUUUUUUCAGAAGAAAGAAAACAUAAAAGAGCAGAGGUAUAAGAAAACGAUGAAAGAGGGGAAAAAUAAAGACAACAGAAAUCUGAGAGGACGAUGAAAAAAAACUCGUCAUUUUAACUGAAUUAUUGAUCACAGAGUGAAACAAACACCCACAACCACAGCGGAGGGAAAACAAAAACAGCACAGCACAAUGGCAGAGAUUAUUACUAACAUUUAUCCCUGCAUGCUCCCAACACGCAACACAAACAGCUACACCAACCAGACUAGUUAUGGAGAAACCCAUUCAUUAUAACCCCAGAUAUCUGGCAGUCAGAUACCUUGUGUUCAAACUGUACAGCCUCCCAUACUCUAUGUACACAACCAAAUGAAAAGACACCACAAAUGACCUACAUCACAUGACUAAAUGGCAAAAACAAGGUUAUUAAUAUUGACUACAUGGAAGCUUAAAGCAGCGUUUCAGUGCACUAAGAGCUAUAGUUUGAUAUGUAAGCGGUUUCAUACUUAUUCCAGCAUGCCAUGCUCUAUAUGCACACUAUGGAGACACGAGCUUAUAACCUUAUGGGUGUCCUACAAGAUGUGCUAAAAUAUGCCCUUUGACACCAUGAGAAUCUGUGAAGUCUUCAAAGUAUCAUGUAUGGAGUAUAACCUACCCCAAGUGAACUAAAUAAAAGGUAAUUAAUUGACUAAUUAAUGUUUUCUACGUUAUGUAUCAACGGUACUCUACACAUACAUAGCACUUAGCAUACAGCAGUUUCAGUGAGUGCACUGAGUGGUAUAGUUUGAUGUAGACUGCUUCAUACAGCUUUUCACAUGAUGUGUGUGGCACAUAGUUUCAGUUUCACUUCAGGUCAGUCUGGGUCUCACCUCACUUACCUGAGUCCAUCUCAUCCACCUCCAUAUUGCUGCAGGUGGUAGGGUGGAGAUAAAGAGAAUGGAGAGAGAGAGAGAGAGAGAGAGAGAGAGAAAAAGAACAGAGAGAGAGAGAGAGAGAAAGAGAACAGAGAGAGAGAGAGAGAGAGAAAAAGAGUGAGAGAGGAAAGAUGUGCUGACAUUUCUGCAUAAUUAAAUCAUCACACUGCGUCCAUCGGCCUGACUCCGUACAUUGCUCAAUUACACACACACACUCACACACACACAUCCUUGUCCGUCACACCCUGAUAAACUUGCUCAGCCAUCCAUGUGACCAACCCUCCCACCCCAGCGCUGGGACACGCUUGUCUUAUUUGGCCACUGUUGUCCCAAAACUGCUUACAUAAACAGACAUGUACAUCAUUUCAGUUUUGUUGGCACAUUCUUUGCAAGCAUGGCUCAAACGACUUGUGUGGUGGUCAAGAGGGUAGCGGCGGCACAUCGCACCCCAGCGCCAAGCUGGCUCAAGGGGAGGAUGACUACUUCAAUUCCUCUCAUUUCUGUUGAUUUAUUUCACUGCGACAUCAGCCCUCUCCUCAUUACAUUACUAUAAUGACUGAUAGCCUCCUUCGCCAGGAUGAGAAAGCAGAUUCCUCCCUGCUGCUUAACCACGGCCAGAGCCGAACUAAUUUUAGCAGACCCCGGCGCCGCGCCGUGUCAACCAGAAUGAGGGUGGCGUACCAAUAAUGAUUCAAUGACUACAUCAAUUCAGGAGAAAGUUUCUGAACUGAAGUUGCUUAGCGGGUCGAACAAAUGCUGAUGACGUACAGAGACAGCAGUGGGACGUCUGAAUAGGCUGACGUAUUCCCAGCAGCCAUUGGAGCUUACCAAACAAGGACAGGUUCUGCAGAAGAACUGCUUUUGUCAUGAGCACAGAGACCCUCUCAGUCACAAUCACAGGAGUCGUUACAAACCCAAGAUAAUCGUCGUAUGAAAGAUAGCUUCACGUUGCUUUGCUUCGGAGAAGUAAUAACUAGAACAGUCUGACAACAGCAAUCACAGCAGACCUAUUUAGGGGCAAACCAGAGGUUAUUUCAAAUGUAUCAAAGCAAAUCCCAGACAGAGGCGGUCUCGGUAACCCAUCCAGUCCAGACCUCACCCAGAUGCGGGCCAGAUUGGAUCAGGGUUGGAUGAGUCAGCUACUAAGUAGGUUGCUUGUGUGCCAGAAGGACGGCGCUGCCUGCAACACCUCAUUAUCUGACAAUGAAGUAACACAGAAUAGAGCACAGAGAGAAAGAGAAAGAGAGAGGGGGAGAGAGAACAAAGGAGCAUCUCUGAAGUACCCAGCAGUUCAAAUAUAGCUAACCAUCUGAAUAAGUGAUCAGACUCUUAUGUAUGCUAACCCUAAAUCAUUGAAAACAAGAAGAUACUGUCAGGUAGUUCGCACAUUCUGCAGCUUGGAAUCAAACUGACAAAAAUACACUGUUAAUAAAAUGAACCUUUCAUAUGUGACAUUUCUGAAUUGGAUUUCAUUAUUCCACUGUUCAACGACUCGUGCCACAUUUAGCUAUAUUCGCCUCUAUGUAAAGAUGUCUAAAAUGUCAUAUUACUUGAAGAGGUGAAUAAAAGCAUGGCACCCCUUGGGUCUGUUGGAGCCCCAUCUGUUUGUGUGAAAUCUGCAAAGAUUGCUCUGAGAUAUUUCUGUGGGGAGUCAUGGUGACCUAAGACGUCAUGCACCUGCGUGAGGAGGGACAAGCUUUGACACAGGACAAAAAAAGCCUCCCUUCACUCCCCUGUUUACAGUAAGACCCUGAAGGAGUCUUUGGACAAAAAAAGCUUCCCUCUGCCAAUAGCCGUCUCUCUGAGGCUUGAUUGUGUCAUAAAAGGAGGACGAAUCAAUUCAAAGACCCGAAGCUAGAAGGAAAAACAGAAAAAGAAUGAAAGUAAAAAAGAGAGGAAAGAUGAAGGAAAACAAACAGAAGUGUUGCCACGCUGACCAGAAAUCUGCUUGAUUGAUCAAGGUCUUUAUAGGAGCCCCUGGCUGCUUUUUGUUCAUUUACGAGAGACGGGAAAUAAACGACAGGGGCUUUUUUAGAACUCUGCCACUCUUUAAAUUUGUCACUAGGGGUUGUGUUUGUCCUCCCUUGGUGUGUUUGUGUGUGUGUGUGUGUGUGUGUGUGCAUUUGCGAGAGAUUGUAUGUAUGGGAUCAUUUGUGAAAGUGUACAUCAUGUUUGGGGGCGAGUUAUUUCUUUAUGUGUGUGUGUGUGUUUGUGUGAAUAUAUGUGUGUGUAUUUGCUUUCAUUGGUAUGUGCAGUAUGUUUGUGUGUCUGCAUGGGACUCCGUUUGUGUGUGUGUGUGUGUG
ensembl:lncRNA